rnacentral:tRNA from 2 species
GCGAGGGUGGCCGAGCCAGGCCAAAGGCGGCGGGCUUAAGACCCGCUCUCGAAGGAGUUCGGGGGUUCGAAUCCCCUCCCUCGCA